GACGAACGCUGGCGGCGUGCCUAAUACAUGCAAGUCGAACGCUUUUUCUUUCACCGGAGCUUGCUCCACCGAAAGAAAAGAGUGGCGAACGGGUGAGUAACACGUGGGUAACCUGCCCAUCAGAAGGGGAUAACACUUGGAAACAGGUGCUAAUACCGUAUAACACUAUUUUCCGCAUGGAAGAAAGUUGAAAGGCGCUUUUGCGUCACUGAUGGAUGGACCAGCGGUGCAUUAGCUAGUUGGUGAGGUAACGGGUCACCAAGGCAACGAUGCAUAGACGACCUGAGAGGGUGAUCGGCCACACUGGGACUGAGACACGGCCCAGACUCCUACGGGAGGCAGCAGUAGGGAAUCUUCGGCAAUGGACGAAAGUCUGACCGAGCAACGCCGCGUGAGUGAAGAAGGUUUUCGGAUCGUAAAACUCUGUUGUUAGAGAAGAACAAGGAUGAGAGUAGAACGUUCAUACCUUGACGGUAUCUAUCCAGAAAGCCACGGCUAACUACGUGCCAGCCGCCGCAGUAA
rnacentral:rRNA from 1 species